rnacentral:ncRNA from 1 species
UAAACCCGAGCCUGUCAGCCUAACGCCUUAGCGCCAGGGUUGGCCGGCCGAGCCGGGAAACCGGCGAGGGUGGUGCGGGAAACCAAACCGCCUCCCGACUUUGGAAAGGUGUUUAUGGCUUCA